AACACCAGGAAACCUUAUCAAGGUUACUGUGAUAGCAUUCCUGUCGUUUAAUUAGUACCAAAAGUCUACACGCUAAUUUGUUGACAAUACAAAGCAGGCAAAAAGACUUUUCAGCAGUUUCUGAAUUUUCCAACCAGCAAUACAACAUAUUUCUAAAGAAUUCAAUAGCAGAAGGUGGAGAAAAAAAAAAGUUUUUAGUUUAAAGAAGGCCAAAAUAAACAGACCAAUCUUAGGAGUUUUUCUGACCAAAAAAAAUAAAUUCCAUGACCAAAAAAGAACUAGAAAAGUAGUAGAACUGAACACCAGUGAUGGAAUUAAAAUUGGAAUGCAUGUCGUUACUAUAGAAAGCAAUAACUAAAGAAAGAAAUUACUAAAGAAAGCAUUACUAAUCAUAAACAAAGAAAUACUGAAAUGAAAGACAAUUCAUAGUUGAUUGAGACAAAAAUCUCGAAUUCCUGGGAGAGAGCAAUAAUUGUAUUUACAUAUGGCCAAUAUGCUCGCCAUAGCCCAACGGAUAAACCAGAAAAAAAAAAAUUCACAAUUGCACAAGCAACUAAAGUCAAAACCUUCCACAGCAACAUCAACAGAAAUAGAGAAAGCAAAGAAAUCAGAAAUCAACAAUAGAAAUCAUCAAUGACUUCAAAAACAAGCAUAAAUGUUCUCUAAUCAAACUGGUCAUCAAAAGAAGUUGACAUCACCAAACA
rnacentral:misc_RNA from 1 species